CCCUUAGAUGUUCUGGGCCGCACGCGCGCUACACUGACGAAUGCAACGAGCUUAUAACCUUGGCCGAAAGGUCUGGGUAAUCUCCAAAUUUCGUCGUGAUGGGGAUAGAUUAUUGCAAUUAUUAAUCUUCAACGAGGAAUGCCUAGUAAGCGCAAGUCAUCAGCUUGCGUUGAUUACGUCCCUGCCCUUUGUACACACCGCCCGUCGCUCCUACCGAUUGAAUGGUCCGGUGAAGCGCUCGGACCGCGGCCUCUUGACGGUUCGCUGUCGAUUGGCUGUGGGAAGUUCGUUAAACCUUAUCAUUUAGAGGAAGGAGAGGUCGUAACA
rnacentral:rRNA from 1 species